ensembl:lncRNA
GUAUCUGUUGUGGUGCUUUCUGUUGUUGUGGUCACUAUGGUAGUACUUUCUGUAGUUGUGGUGUCUUCUGUUGUUGUGAUCUCAGUUGUGGUGGCACUUUCUGUUGUAGUAUCUGUUGUGGUGCUUUCUGUUGUUGUGGUUUCGGUUAAUGUAGUGUCUGCUGUUGUACUUUCUGGUGUUGUGAUUCCAGAGGUUGUACUUUCUGUUGUUGUCUCAGUUGUGGUGCUGUCUGUUGUUAUUGAAGUUUCUGCUGUUGUACUUUCUAAAGUUGAGGUACCGGUGGUGGUGCUUUGUGUUGUUGUAGAAUCCAUUGUGGUGCAGUCUGUUGUUAUUGUUGUCUCUGCUGUUGUACUUUCUAGUGUUGUGGUUCCAGUGGUUGUACUUUCUGUUGUGGUGCUUUCUAUUGUUGUUGGCUCAGUUGUUGUGAUAUCUGGUGUUGUGGUAGCUGUGGUGGUGCUUUCUGUUGUUGUUGUAGUAGUGUCUGUUGUGGGGCUUUCUGUAGUUGUGGUAUCUUCUAUAGUUGUGGUUUCCAUUGUUGUAAUUUCUGAAGUUGUGGUACCAGUGGUGCUGCUUUCUAUUGUUGUGGUCACUAUGGUAGGACUUUCUGUAGUUGUGGUGUCUUCUGUUGUUGUGAUCUCAGUUGUGGUGGCACUUUCUGUUGUAGUAUCUUUUGUGGUGCUUUCUGUUGUUGUGGUUUCAGUUAAUGUAGUGUCUGCUUUUGUACUUUCUGGUGUUGUGAUUCCAGAGGUUGUACUUUCUGUUGUUGUCUCAGUUGUCCUGCUGUCUGUUGUUAUUGUUGUUUCUGCUGUUGUACUUUCUGGUGUUGUGGCAACAGAGGUUGUACUUUCUGUUGUUGUCUCUGUUGUGGUGCUUUCAGUUGUUAUUGAAGUUUCUGCUGUUGUACUUUCUAAAGUUGUGGUACCGGUGGUGGUGAUUUGUGUUGUUGUAGAAUCCACUGUGGUGCUGUCUGUUGUUAUUGUUGUCUCUGCUGUUGUACUUUCUGGUGUUGUGGUACCAGAGGUUGUACUUUCUGUUGUGGUGCUUUCUGUUGUUGUUGGCUCAGUUGUUGUGAUAUCUGGUGUUGUGGCAGCUGU